GAUGAAGAACGUAGCGAAAUGCGAUAACUAAUGUGAAUUGCAGAAUUCAGUGAAUCAUCGAGUCUUUGAACGCACAUUGCGCCCCCUGGUAUUCCGGGGGGCAUGCCUGUCCGAGCGUCAUUGCUGCCCUCAAGCACGGCUUGUGUGUUGGGCUCCGUCCCCCCGGGGACGGGCCCGAAAGGCAGCGGCGGCACCGAGUCCGGUCCUCGAGCGUAUGGGGCUUUGUCACCCGCUCUGUAGGCCCGGCCGGCGCCAGCCGACAACCCAUCGUCCUUUUCAGGUUGACCUCGGAUCAGGUAGGGAUACCCGCUGAACUUAAGCAUAUCAAUAAGCGGAGGA
rnacentral:misc_RNA from 1 species